AAUCAACGCUGGCGGCGUGCCUCAGACAUGCAAGUCGAACGAUUAAAGCUCUCUUCGGAGAGUGCAUAAAGUGGCGCACGGGUGAGUAACACGUAAGUAAUCUACCUUCGAGUGGGGAAUAACGUCCGGAAACGGACGCUAAUACCGCAUAAUGCAGCGGCACCUAAUGGUGACAGUUGUUAAAGAAUUUAUUCGCUUGAAGAGGAGCUUGCGGCAGAUUAGCUAGUUGGUAAGGUAAUGGCUUACCAAGGCUUCGAUCUGUAACCGGUCUAAGAGGACGGUCGGUCACACUGACACUGAAUAACGGGUCAGACUCCUACGGGAGGCAGCAGUCGGGAAUUUUGGGCAAUGGGCGAAAGCCUGACCCAGCAACGCCGCGUGAAGGAUGAAGUAUUUCGGUAUGUAAACUUCGAAAGAAUGGGAAGAAUCAAUGACGGUACCAUUUAUAAGGUCCGGCUAACUACGUGCCAGCAGCCGCCGUAA
rnacentral:rRNA from 1 species